rnacentral:rRNA from 1 species
CCUACGGGAGGCAGCAGUGAGGAAUAUUGGUCAAUGGACGAGAGUCUGAACCAGCCACGUAGCGUGAAGGAUGACUGCCCUAUGGGUUGUAAACUUCUUUUAUAAAGGAAUAAAACGAGGCACGUGUGCCUUUUUGCAUGUCCUUUAUGAUUCAGGAUCGGACAACUACGUGCCAGCAGCAGCGGUAAUACGGAGGAGCCGAGCGUUAUCCGGAUUUAUUGGGUUUCAAGGGAGCGUAGAUGGGUUGUUAAGUCAGUUGUGAAAGUUUGCGGCUCAACCGUAAAAUUGCAAUUGAUACUGGCAGGCUUGAGUGCAGGUGAGGUAGGCGGAAUUCGUGGUGUAGCGGUGAAAUGCUUAGAUAUCACGAAGAACCCCGAUUGCGAAGGCAGCUUACUAAACUGUGACUGACAUUGAGGCUCGAAGGUGUGGGGAGCAAACAGGAUUAGAUACCCGAGUAGUC